rnacentral:rRNA from 1 species
AACGAACGCUGGCGGCAUGCCUAACACAUGCAAGUCGAACGAGACCUUCGGGUCUAGUGGCGCACGGGUGCGUAACGCGUGGGAACCUGCCCUUAGGUUCGGAAUAACUCCCCGAAAGGGGUGCUAAUACCGGAUAAUGUCUUCGGACCAAAGAUUUAUCGCCUUUGGAUGGGCCCGCGUUGGAUUAGCUAGUUGGUAGGGUAAAAGCCUACCAGGGCGACGAUCCAUAGCUGGUCUGAGAGGAUGAUCAGCCACACUGGGACUGAGACACGGCCCAGACUCCUACGGGAGGCAGCAGUGGGGAAUAUUGGACAAUGGGCGAAAGCAUGAUCCAGCAAUGCCGCGUGAGUGAUGAAGGCCUUAGGGUUGUAAAGCUCUUUUACCCGGGAUGAUAAUGACAGUACCGGGAGAAUAAGCUCCGGCUAACUCCGUG